GGGACUAUUAAUCUCUAUAUCUCUUUAUCAUAUCACUCCGUUAACGUAGUUGUGCGUGGUACCCUAACCACGAUGAAGAGAACUGAUGUUCCCUUCUGAGCGCGAAGCGGGCAGUGAGUGAUGAUGCAUUUCAUCUGCUCCUUGCCAUUGAUGACCGUUCCAUGCUCUCUAGUGGAGCCUGGAGGUGGGUAUCAUGAUCAGAGUGGU
ensembl:snoRNA U3 Small nucleolar RNA U3